rnacentral:misc_RNA from 1 species
GACGAAGAACGCAGCGAAAUGCGAUAAGUAAUGUGAAUUGCAGAAUUCAGUGAAUCAUCGAAUCUUUGAACGCACAUUGCGCCCGCCAGUAUUCUGGCGGGCAUGCCUGUUCGAGCGUCAUUACAACCCUCAGGCCCCCGGGCCUGGCGUUGGGGAUCGGCGGAAGCCCCCUGCGGGCACAACGCCGUCCCCCAAAUACAGUGGCGGUCCCGCCGCAGCUUCCAUUGCGUAGUAGCUAACACCUCGCAACUGGAGAGCGGCGCGGCCACGCCGUAAAACACCCAACUUCUGAAUGUUGACCUCGAAUCAGGUAGGAAUACCCGCUGAACUUAAGCAUAUCAAUAAGCGGAGGA